rnacentral:rRNA from 1 species
GGGUUGUGAGGUUAAGCGACUAAGCGUACACGGUGGAUGCCCUGGCAGUCAGAGGCGAUGAAGGACGUGCUAAUCUGCGAUAAGCGUCGGUAAGGUGAUAUGAACCGUUAUAACCGGCGAUUUCCGAAUGGGGAAACCCAGUGUGUUUCGACACACUAUCAUUAACUGAAUCCAUAGGUUAAUGAGGCGAACCGGGGGAACUGAAACAUCUAAGUACCCCGAGGAAAAGAAAUCAACCGAGAUUCCCCCAGUAGCGGCGAGCGAACGGGGAGCAGCCCAGAGCCUGAAUCAGUGUGUGUGUUAGUGGAAGCGUCUGGAAAGGCGCGCGAUACAGGGUGACAGCCCCGUACACAAAAAUGCACAUGCUGUGAGCUCGAUGAGUAGGGCGGGACACGUGGUAUCCUGUCUGAAUAUGGGGGGACCAUCCUCCAAGGCUAAAUACUCCUGACUGACCGAUAGUGAACCAGUACCGUGAGGGAAAGGCGAAAAGAACCCCGGCGAGGGGAGUGAAAAAGAACCUGAAACCGUGUACGUACAAGCAGUGGGAGCACGCUUAGGCGUGUGACUGCGUACCUUUUGUAUAAUGGGUCAGCGACUUAUAUUCUGUAGCAAGGUUAACCGAAUAGGGGAGCCGAAGGGAAACCGAGUCUUAACUGGGCGUUAAGUUGCAGGGUAUAGACCCGAAACCCGGUGAUCUAGCCAUGGGCAGGUUGAAGGUUGGGUAACACUAACUGGAGGACCGAACCGACUAAUGUUGAAAAAUUAGCGGAUGACUUGUGGCUGGGGGUGAAAGGCCAAUCAAACCGGGAGAUAGCUGGUUCUCCCCGAAAGCUAUUUAGGUAGCGCCUCGUGAAUUCAUCUCCGGGGGUAGAGCACUGUUUCGGCAAGGGGGUCAUCCCGACUUACCAACCCGAUGCAAACUGCGAAUACCGGAGAAUGUUAUCACGGGAGACACACGGCGGGUGCUAACGUCCGUCGUGAAGAGGGAAACAACCCAGACCGCCAGCUAAGGUCCCAAAGUCAUGGUUAAGUGGGAAACGAUGUGGGAAGGCCCAGACAGCCAGGAUGUUGGCUUAGAAGCAGCCAUCAUUUAAAGAAAGCGUAAUAGCUCACUGGUCGAGUCGGCCUGCGCGGAAGAUGUAACGGGGCUAAACCAUGCACCGAAGCUGCGGCAGCGACGCUGAUGCGUUGUUGGGUAGGGGAGCGUUCUGUAAGCCUGCGAAGGUGUGCUGUGAGGCAUGCUGGAGGUAUCAGAAGUGCGAAUGCUGACAUAAGUAACGAUAAAGCGGGUGAAAAGCCCGCUCGCCGGAAGACCAAGGGUUCCUGUCCAACGUUAAUCGGGGCAGGGUGAGUCGACCCCUAAGGCGAGGCCGAAAGGCGUAGUCGAUGGGAAACAGGUUAAUAUUCCUGUACUUGGUGUUACUGCGAAGGGGGGACGGAGAAGGCUAUGUUGGCCGGGCGACGGUUGUCCCGGUUUAAGCGUGUAGGCUGGUUUUCCAGGCAAAUCCGGAAAAUCAAGGCUGAGGCGUGAUGACGAGGCACUACGGUGCUGAAGCAACAAAUGCCCUGCUUCCAGGAAAAGCCUCUAAGCAUCAGGUAACAUCAAAUCGUACCCCAAACCGACACAGGUGGUCAGGUAGAGAAUACCAAGGCGCUUGAGAGAACUCGGGUGAAGGAACUAGGCAAAAUGGUGCCGUAACUUCGGGAGAAGGCACGCUGAUAUGUAGGUGAAGUCCCUCGCGGAUGGAGCUGAAAUCAGUCGAAGAUACCAGCUGGCUGCAACUGUUUAUUAAAAACACAGCACUGUGCAAACACGAAAGUGGACGUAUACGGUGUGACGCCUGCCCGGUGCCGGAAGGUUAAUUGAUGGGGUCAGCGCAAGCGAAGCUCUUGAUCGAAGCCCCGGUAAACGGCGGCCGUAACUAUAACGGUCCUAAGGUAGCGAAAUUCCUUGUCGGGUAAGUUCCGACCUGCACGAAUGGCGUAAUGAUGGCCAGGCUGUCUCCACCCGAGACUCAGUGAAAUUGAACUCGCUGUGAAGAUGCAGUGUACCCGCGGCAAGACGGAAAGACCCCGUGAACCUUUACUAUAGCUUGACACUGAACAUUGAGCCUUGAUGUGUAGGAUAGGUGGGAGGCUUUGAAGUGUGGACGCCAGUCUGCAUGGAGCCGACCUUGAAAUACCACCCUUUAAUGUUUGAUGUUCUAACGUGGACCCGUGAUCCGGGUUGCGGACAGUGUCUGGUGGGUAGUUUGACUGGGGCGGUCUCCUCCUAAAGAGUAACGGAGGAGCACGAAGGUUGGCUAAUCCUGGUCGGACAUCAGGAGGUUAGUGCAAUGGCAUAAGCCAGCUUGACUGCGAGCGUGACGGCGCGAGCAGGUGCGAAAGCAGGUCAUAGUGAUCCGGUGGUUCUGAAUGGAAGGGCCAUCGCUCAACGGAUAAAAGGUACUCCGGGGAUAACAGGCUGAUACCGCCCAAGAGUUCAUAUCGACGGCGGUGUUUGGCACCUCGAUGUCGGCUCAUCACAUCCUGGGGCUGAAGUAGGUCCCAAGGGUAUGGCUGUUCGCCAUUUAAAGUGGUACGCGAGCUGGGUUUAGAACGUCGUGAGACAGUUCGGUCCCUAUCUGCCGUGGGCGCUGGAGAACUGAGGGGGGCUGCUCCUAGUACGAGAGGACCGGAGUGGACGCAUCACUGGUGUUCGGGUUGUCAUGCCAAUGGCACUGCCCGGUAGCUAAAUGCGGAAGAGAUAAGUGCUGAAAGCAUCUAAGCACGAAACUUGCCCCGAGAUGAGUUCUCCCUGACUCCUUGAGAGUCCUGAAGGAACGUUGAAGACGACGACGUUGAUAGGCCGGGUGUGUAAGCGCAGCGAUGCGUUGAGCUAACCGGUACUAAUGAACCGUGAGGCUUAACCUUACAACGCCGAAGCUGUU